rnacentral:rRNA from 1 species
GCAAACAAGAUGCCAGAAGAAUGGAGACGGAGUAUAUUAGUACCAAUCUUCAAGAACAAGGGGGAUGUUCAGAGUUGUACUAAUCACCGUGGAAUUAAGCUGAUGAGCCAUACAAUGAAGCUAUGGGAGAGAGACAUUGAGCACCGCUUAAGAAGAAUGACAAGCGUGACCAAAAAUCAGUUUGGUUUCAUGCCUGGGAGGUCGACCAUGGAAGCCAUUUUCUUGGUACGACAACUUAUGGAGAGAUAUAGGGAGCAUAAGAAGGACUUGCAUAUGGUGUUCAUUGACUUGGAGAAGGCCUAUGAUAAGAUACCGCGGAAUGUCAUGUGGUGGGCCUUGGAGAAACACAAAGUCCCAGCAAAGUACAUUACCCUCAUCAAGGACAUGUACAAUAAUGUUGUGACAAGUGUUCGAACAAGUGAUGUCGACACCGAUGACUUCCUGAUUAAGAUAGGACUGCAUCAGGGGUCAGCUUUGAGCCCUUAUCUUUUUGCAUUGGUGAUGGAUGAGGUCACAAGGGGUAUACAAGGAGAUAUCCCAUGGUGUAUGCUCUUUGCGGAUGAUGUGGUGCUAGUUGACGAUAGUCGAACGGGGGUAAAUAGGAAGUUAGAGUUAUGGAGACAAACCUUGGAAUCGAAAGGGUUUAGGCUUAGUAGAACUAAAACCGAGUACAUGAUGUGCGGUUUCAGUACUACUAGCUGUGAGGAGGAGGAGGUUAGCCUUGAUGGCCAGGUGGUACCUCGGAAGGACACCUUUCGGUAUUUGGGGUCAAUGUUGCAGGAGGAUGGGGGUAUUGAUGAAGAUGUGAACCAUCGAAUCAAAGCCGGAUGGAUGAAGUGGCGCCAAGCUUCUGGCAUUCUCUGUGACAAGAGAGUGCCACAAAAGCUAAAAGGCAAGUUCUACAGGAUGGCGGUUCGACCCGCAAUGUUGUAUGGCGCGGAGUGUUGGCCGACUAAAAGGCGACAUGUUCAACAGUUAGGUGUGGCGGAGAUGCGUAUGUUGAGAUGGAUGUGUGGCCACACGAGGAAGGAUCGAGUCCGGAAUGAUGAUAUACGAGAUAGAGUUGGGGUAGCACCAAUUGAGGAGAAGCUUGUCCAACAUCGUUUGAGAUGGUUUAGGCAUAUUCAGCACAGGCCUCCAGAAGCUCCAGUGCAUAGCGGACGGCUAAAGCGUGCGGAGAAUGUCAAGAGAGGGCGGGGUCGACCGAUUUUGACA